CCCGGGGGGGUAACCCGGGGGGUUACGGGGUAACGGUUAAACCGGGUACCGGGUUACCGGGGGUUUAAACCCGUUACCGGUACCCGUUACCUAACGUAACCGGUAACGGGGGGUAAGUAAACAAGUUAGAAAUGACUGCUAAUACCGCAUAAGCGCACGGGACUGCAUGGUCCAGUGUGAAAAACCGAGGUGGUAUGAGAUGGACCCGCGUCUGAUUAGCUGGUUGGCGGGGUAACGGCCCACCAAGGCGACGAUCAGUAGCCGACCUGAGAGGGUGGCCGGCCACAUUGGGACUGAGACACGGCCCAAACUCCUACGGGAGGCAGCAG
rnacentral:rRNA from 1 species